rnacentral:rRNA from 1 species
GGUGCUAUACAUGCAGUAGAACGCUGAAGAGAGGAGCUUGCUCUUCUUGGAUGAGUUGCGAACGGGUGAGUAACGCGUAGGUAACCUGCCUUGUAGCGGGGGAUAACUAUUGGAAACGAUAGCUAAUACCGCAUAACAAUGGAUGACACAUGUCAUUUAUUUGAAAGGGGCAAUUGCUCCACUACAAGAUGGACCUGCGUUGUAUUAGCUAGUAGGUGAGGUAACGGCUCACCUAGGCGACGAUACAUAGCCGACCUGAGAGGGUGAUCGGCCACACUGGGACUGAGACACGGCCCAGACUCCUACGGGAGGCAGCAGUAGGGAAUCUUCGGCAAUGGGGGCAACCCUGACCGAGCAACGCCGCGUGAGUGAAGAAGGUUUUCGGAUCGUAAAGCUCUGUUGUAAGUCAAGAACGAGUGUGAGAGUGGAAAGUUCACACUGUGACGGUAGCUUACCAGAAAGGGACGGCUAACUACGUGCCAGCAGCCGCGGUAAUACGUAGGUCCCGAGCGUUGUCCGGAUUUAUUGGGCGUAAAGCGAGCGCAGGCGGUUUGAUAAGUCUGAAGUUAAAGGCUGUGGCUCAACCAUAGUUCGCUUUGGAAACUGUCAAACUUGAGUGCAGAAGGGGAGAGUGGAAUUCCAUGUGUAGCGGUGAAAUGCGUAGAUAUAUGGAGGAACACCGGUGGCGAAAGCGGCUCUCUGGUCUGUAACUGACGCUGAGGCUCGAAAGCGUGGGGAGCGAACAGGAUUAGAUACCCUGGUAGUCCACGCCGUAAACGAUGAGUGCUAGUGUUGGAUCCUUUCCGGGAUUCAGUGCCGCAGCUAACGCAUUAAGCACUCCGCCUGGGGAGUACGACCGCAAGGUUGAAACUCAAGGAAUUGACGGGGGCCCGCACAAGCGGUGGAGCAUGUGGUUUAAUUCGGAAGCAACGCGAA